UCCUAAGAUGAGCUCAACGAGAAUAGAAAUCUCGUGUGGAACAGAAGGGUAAAAGCUCGUUUGAUUCUAAUUUCUAGUAUGAAUACGAAUCGUGAAAUCGUGGCCUAAC
rnacentral:rRNA from 1 species